rnacentral:rRNA from 1 species
UACGGGGGGGGCAAGCGUUGUUCGGAAUUACUGGGCGUAAAGGGCUCGUAGGUGGCCAACUAAGUCAGACGUGAAAUCCCUCGGCUUAACCGAGGAACUGCCUGUCAGACUGGAAGGCUUGAGACCGGGAGAGGUGAGUGGAAUUCCCAGUGUAGCGGUGAAAUGCGUAGAUAUUGGGAGGAACACCAGUGGCGAAGGCGGCUCACUGGACCGGAACUGACGCUGAGGCGCGAAAGCGUGGGGAGCAAACAGG